CCCAGACUCCUACGGGAGGCAGCAGUGGGGAAUAUUGGGCAAUGGGCGCAAGCCUGACCCAGCAACGCCGCGUGAAGGAAGAAGGCCCUCGGGUUGUAAACUUCUUUUAGCAGGGACGAAGAAAGUGACGGUACCUGUUGAAUAAGCCACGGCUAACUACGUGCCAGCAGCCGCGGUAAUACGUAGGGGGCAAGCGUUAUCCGGAUUUACUGGGUGUAAAGGGAGCGUAGACGGUCCUGCAAGCCAGAUGUGAAAGCCCGGGGCUCAACCCCGGGACUGCAUUUGGAACUGUAAGGCUAGAGUGUCGGAGAGGCAGGCGGAAUUCCUAGUGUAGCGGUGAAAUGCGUAGAUAUUAGGAGGAACACCAGUGGCGAAGGCGGCCUGCUGGACUGUAACUGACGUUGAGGCUCGAAAGCGUGGGGAGCAAACAGGAUUAGAUACCCCGGUAGG
rnacentral:rRNA from 1 species